UGGAAAGGUUGCAUCUAAAGGUUGCAGACCAACACUACACGUGUUGGUCUGCAACGUCUCGCAGGAUCAGACGAGGACAUUCGUUCUUACACAAGAUUUGCAUCAUACAAGCAUUUCCUGACCUUUUGGCAACUGAUGGAGCCAGCCGUGAAAACCGAGAUGAUAAGGGUCACCCAGUGCUGCCUCUGGCAAGUCCACUCAACACAAAGCAACGAAACUGGCACCCGUUUACGAACUGCUGCUAUUUUUGAUGUACUUGUCUGUUGGCCUGCCUCUCAGAGAUCUUGCCAAACGCUUUUGACAUUCACCGCGCCACAGCCAGCAGGAUCAUUACAACAUGGACAAACUUUCUGGACUUUGUCCUUGGCUCCAUCUGCCUGUGGAUACCACAAGAUGAAGUGAAAGCUCUUUUGCCACCAGAGUUUUUGAGUCCUACCCUGGCACACAGGUGAUCCUUGACUGUA